AACGAACGCUGGCGGCAGGCUUAACACAUGCAAGUCGAACGGUUGUAGCAAUACAGCAGUGGCGCACGGGUGAGUAACGCGUGGAUAUCUGCCUUUUGGUUCGGAAUAACUCCGGGACACUGGAGCUAAUACCGGAUGGUUCCUACGGGAUAAAGAUUUAUCGCCAAAAGAUGAGUCCGCGUACGAUUAGCUAGUUGGUGAGGUAAUGGCUCACCAAGGCGACGAUCGUUAGCUGGUCUGAGAGGACGAUCAGCCACACUGGGGCUGAGACACGGCCCAGACUCCUACGGGAGGCAGCAGUGGGGAAUAUUGGACAAUGGGGGCAACCCUGAUCCAGCCAUGCCGCGUGAGUGAUGAAGGCCUUCGGGUUGUAAAGCUCUUUUGGCGGGGACGAUGAUGACGGUACCCGCAGAAUAAGCCCCGGCUAACUUCGUGCCAGCAGCCGCCGUAAGAC
rnacentral:rRNA from 1 species